CCUACGGGAGGCAGCAGUGGGGAAUAUUGCACAAUGGGGGAAACCCUGAUGCAGCGACGCCGCGUGAGUGAAGAAGUAAUUCGUUAUGUAAAGCUCUAUCAGCAGGGAAGAAAAUGACGGUACCUGAGUAAGAAGCCCCGGCUAACUACGUGCCAGCAGCCGCGGUAAUACGUAGGGGGCAAGCGUUAUCCGGAUUUACUGGGUGUAAAGGGAGCGUAGACGGCAGUGCAAGUCUGGAGUGAAAGGGGGGGGCUCAACCCCAGGACUGCUCUGGAAACUAGUGAACUUGAGUGCAGGAGAGGUAAGCGGAAUUCCUAGUGUAGCGGUGAAAUGCGUAGAUAUUAGGAGGAACACCAGUGGCGAAGGCGGCUUACUGGACUGUAACUGACGUUGAGGCUCGAAAGCGUGGGGAGCAAACAGGAUUAGAUACCCCGGUAGUC
rnacentral:rRNA from 1 species